rnacentral:rRNA from 1 species
CCAGACUCCUACGGGAGGCAGCAGUGGGGAAUAUUGCACAAUGGGGGGAACCCUGAUGCAGCGACGCCGCGUGAGUGAAGAAGUAUUUCGGUAUGUAAAGCUCUAUCAGCAGGGAAGAAAAACCGACCAUAGGGUCGCUAGACGGUACCUGAUUAAGAAGCCCCGGCUAACUACGUGCCAGCAGCCGCGGUAAUACGUAGGGGGCAAGCGUUAUCCGGAUUUACUGGGUGUAAAGGGAGCGUAGACGGCAGCGCAAGUCUGAAGUGAAAUGCCGGGGCUUAACCCCGGAACUGCUCUGGAAACUGUGCGGCUAGAGUACUGGAGGGGCAGGCGGAAUUCCUAGUGUAGCGGUGAAAUGCGUAGAUAUUAGGAGGAACACCAGUGGCGAAGGCGGCCUGCUGGACAGUAACUGACGUUGAGGCUCGAAAGCGUGGGGAGCAAACAGGAUUAGAUACCCGGGUACG